UACGAAGGGUGCAAGCGUUACUCGGAAUUACUGGGCGUAAAGCGUGCGUAGGUGGUGAGUUAAGUCUGUCGUGAAAGCCCCGGGCUCAACCUGGGAAUGGCGAUGGAUACUGGCUCGCUAGAGUGCGGUAGAGGAGAGUGGAAUUCCCGGUGUAGCAGUGAAAUUCGUAGAUAUUCGGAAGAACACCAGUGGCGAAGGCGACUCACUGGCCCGAUACUGACGCUGAGGCGCGAAAGCGUGGGGAGCAAACAGG
rnacentral:rRNA from 1 species